rnacentral:rRNA from 1 species
UUGUGGUUAAACCGCAAAUAAGUGCAGAUGGUGGAUGCCUUGGUAUGGAAUGACGAUGAAGGACGUAGCAGCCUGCGAUAAGCCUCGGUGAGGUGGCAAGCAACCUUUGACCCGGGGAUAUCCGAAUGGGGUAACCCAAUCUGAUGGAAGAUCAGAUUAUCAGCCGCUGAAUUCAUAGGCGGUUAGAAGACAACCUGGGGAAGUGAAACAUCUCAGUACCCAGAGGAAGAGAAAACACCGAUACGUGGUUCUGUUGCUAUCACUCGCGCAAACGUUUGUGAGUGGUAGUAGCAGUGCCACAUAAUUCCCGGAGUAGUGGCGAGCGAAACGGGACCAGCCCAAACUUAGUGACGCUUGAACUUGCGAUGCGUGUAUAUCUUUUGAUAGAUACGAAGCGCGGGUUUUAAGGCUCAUUCAGCCAAUGUGUUUCUAAGCGUAGUAAGAUAGUAGCGUCUUGAGAGUGAAUGAUUCUCAAGGGGAGAAUUAGAAAUCAAAACUUUCCUAGUCGAAUGGCCUGGAACGGCCAGCCAAAGAAGGUGACAGCCCUGUAGGCGAAAGGAGUUUUGGGCUCCUAGUUAUUAUUCUUGAGUACCACGGGACUCGUGAAAUCCAGUGGGAAGCAAGCGCGACUAUGCGUUAAGGCUAAAUACAUUCCAUAACCGAUAGUGAACUAGUACCGUGAGGGAAAGGUGAAAAGCACCCCGGUGAGGGGGAUGAAAUAGUACCUGAAACCAUCUGCUUACAAGGAGUCAGAGCGCUUACCACUUCAGCGUAGGUUUUUUGCUUAUGGCCCUCGUGCUAGUCAGAUACCGUACCGCCUGUUAUCGCAGGUUAGGCGGCUGUACUGGGAACGAGCUGUAGGCGAACCUACGCUGAAGUGGUGCGUGAUGGCGUGCCUAUUGAAGAAUGAGCCAACGAGUUAGCUGGUAGUAGCUGAUUAAGUCCUACGGGACGUAGUCAAAGUGAAAGCGAGGCUUAACAGCCGUACUGAGUUUGAAAAGCGAUGCGUGUAUUUUCACGCCGCGCUUUUCUUACUCAAAAGCUGCUAUCACUAGACCCGAAACCGGGUGACCUAGCCAUGACCAGGGUGAAGCACAGGUAACACUGUGUGGAGGCCCGAACCCACGCGCCGUGCAAAACGCGGGGAUGAGUUGUGGCUCGCAGAGAAAUUCUAAUCGAACUCGGUAAUAGCUGGUUCUCCUCGAAAUAGUUUUAGGACUAGCCUGUUCCAUCGUUCCUGAUGGUAGAGCACUGAAUGGGUUUCCAUGGCGUAAGCCUAGGCGAUCCAACCAAACUCCGAAUGUCAGGAAACGUAAGGAAUGGAGUCAGAGCGUGAGGGCUAAGCUUCACCGCUCAAAAGGGAAACAGCCCAUGAUCACCAAAUAAGGUCCCUAAAUUUCAGCUAAGUGUUAAAGGCGGUCUCGUCGCUUAAACAACCAGGAGGUUGGCUUAGAAGCAGCCACCCUUUAAAGA